rnacentral:misc_RNA from 1 species
GAUGAAGAACGCAGCGAAAUGCGAUAAGUAGUGUGAAUUGCAGAAUUCAGUGAAUCAUCGAAUCUUUGAACGCACAUUGCGCCCCUUGGUAUUCCAUGGGGCAUGCCUGUUCGAGCGUCAUUUGUACCUUCAAGCUUUGCUUGGUGUUGGGUGUUUGUCCCUCGGGACUCGCCUUAAAGUCAUUGGCAGCCAGUGUUUUGGUUUUGAAGCGCAGCACAAGUCGCGAUUCAAGGCUAUCCGCCCGCUUCCACAAGCCUUUUUCACUUUUGACCUCGGAUCAGGUAGGGAUACCCGCUGAACUUAAGCAUAUCAAUAAGCGGGGA